UAAGCCCGUGUGUCCCUCUUAUUUCCUUUC
rnacentral:piRNA from 1 species